AUAGGUUUGGUCCCAGCCUUCCUGUUAACUUUCAAUAGACUUAUACAUGCAAGCAUCCACGCCCCGGUGAGUAACGCCCUUCGAAUCACACAGGACUAAAAGGAGCAGGUAUCAAGCACACACUCUUGUAGCUCACAACGCCUUGCUUAACCACACCCCCACGGGAGACAGCAGUAACAAAAAUUAAGCCAUAAACGAAAGUUUGACUAAGCCAUAUUGACCAGGGUUGGUAAAUCUCGUGCCAGCCACCGCGGUCAUACGAUUGACCCAAGCUAACAGGAGUACGGCGUAAAGUGUGUUAAAGCAUCAUACUAAAUAGAGUUAAAUUUUAAUUAAACUGUAAAAAGCCAUAAUUAUAACAAAAAUAAAUGACGAAAGUAACCCUACAAUAGCUGAUACACCAUAGCUAAGACCCAAACUGGGAUUAGAUACCCCACUAUGCUUAGCCCUAAACACAAAUAAUUAU
rnacentral:rRNA from 1 species